rnacentral:rRNA from 1 species
UACGUAGGGUGCGAGCGUUAAUCGGAAUUACUGGGCGUAAAGCGUGCGCAGGCGGUUCGUUAAGUUCGUUGUGAAAGCCCCGGGCUCAACCUGGGAACCUGCAAUGGAAACUGGCGGGCUUGAAUGACGGCAGAGGGGGGUGGAAUUCCGCGUGUAGCAGUGAAAUGCGUAGAGAUGCGGAGGAACACCGAUGGCGAAGGCAGCCCCCUGGGCCGACAUUGACGCUCAUGCACGAAAGCGUGGGGAGCAAACAGG